CCUUCGGGUCCUUGGCAACAUUGACGCUUGUUGAUGACAGACGCUACAACAUGUGCACAUGACAGCCACACAACUGGACAUAUUUCAGCAAAUAAACCGACAUACAGUCCGAUAACAUGCGGGAAUUGAGUGUCAUUUAACUUCUCGAAAGAAUGUGUUUGGACCAUUACAUCCAGUCAUCAGAAGCAGAGCUGUGGGACGUGUGGACAGACAUUGGCUGUAAUGAUGGACGUCUGCUGAUGGACAGUCAAAAGCAUAACCCCCUCCUGGACAUCGUGCGGGAGCUCAGGGGGGGACCCCAUGAUCCCCCACACCUUCUCACUCGCACCACAGCAUUCACUCAUAUCGCGGAGAUCUGGCUGGACUCGAACCAGCAACCUCUGAACCCGUGAGGCAGCGCUCUUACCUGUGAGCCACAGAUCUCUUGCUGAUGAUGUGCUGGAACUUAUAUUUCAGUGUUAUCCUGAGAGUUUCCAAUAAAGCAGUUAAAGUGAGAUUCGAACCCACGUCUUCAUCAGUCUUGUCCUUAGAGAGUGUGUGUUUAUCCGCUCGCCCAUCAUGGAUUUCACGUUGACAGCUGGUUUUGGGGCCCCUUGUCUAAUGAGAACUAUUGAAAGUCAGCAAUAGUGGGACUUGAACUCAGGACACUGUGAUUGAAACACAACUCUUUCUCUCCUGAGCCACUGAGACUGCUGAGAUGAAGAGCAUUUUCAACCGGUUUGAUCCAGAGUUGUGUGUUAAAUGAUGAAUAACUUUAACAAACAUGGAUCUGAAACCUGGGAUUUGAACCAGGACUGUCUGGUUGGUGAGGUUGACAACUAUCCACUGAGCCGCAGAGACUGUGAAUCAAUGAUGUUGUUUUAGAUUUCAAGUUUAAAGUUCUUAACGUAUGUAAAAGAUUAUUGUCAUUGAUUAAUAAUUCAUUGACUACUCAGAUCUAUUCUCUAUAAAAUGAUUUUAUUUUUAAGUUAUUCUUUGUAUCAACUGUAUCAGUGUGCGUGUUGUGUCCUAUCGUCUGUCUAUAUAAAUAUACAUGCAAAAAAAGUCAGAUCUAAAAUUA